CCUACGGGAGGCAGCAGUGGGGAAUAUUGCACAAUGGGCGAAAGCCUGAUGCAGCAACGCCGCGUGAAGGAAGAAGGGUUUCGGCUCGUAAACUUCUAUCAACAGGGACGAAAGAAAUGAUGGUUGCUGAAUAAGAAGCGCCGGCCAACUACGUGCCAGCAGCGGCGGUAAGACGGAGGGGGCAAGCGUUAGCCGGAAUUACUGGGUGUAAGGGGUGAGUAGGCGGCAGGGUAAUCCUGUUGUGAAAGCCUUGGGCUUAACCCGGGGAUUGCAUUUGGAACUAUCAAGCUAGAGUGCAGGAGAGGAAAGCGGAAUUCCUAGUGUAGCGGUGAAAUGCGUAGAUAUUAGGAAGAACACCAGUGGCGAAGGCGGCUUACUGGACUGGAACUGACGCUGAGGCACGAAAGCGUGGGGAGCAAACAGGAUUAGAUACCCGGGUAGUC
rnacentral:rRNA from 1 species